AGCGAACGCUGGCGGCAGGCCUAACACAUGCAAGUCGAACGAACUCUUCGGAGUUAGUGGCGGACGGGUGAGUAACACGUGGGAACGUGCCUUUAGGUUCGGAAUAACUCAGGGAAACUUGAGCUAAUACCGGAUGUGCCCUUCGGGGGAAAGAUUUAUCGCCUUUAGAGCGGCCCGCGUCUGAUUAGCUAGUUGGUGAGGUAAAGGCUCACCAAGGCGACGAUCAGUAGCUGGUCUGAGAGGAUGAUCAGCCACAUUGGGACUGAGGCACGGCCCAAACUCCUACGGGAGGCAGCAGUGGGGAAUCUUGCGCAAUGGGCGAAAGCCUGACGCAGCCAUGCCGCGUGAAUGAUGAAGGUCUUAGGAUUGUAAAAUUCUUUCACCGGGGACGAUAAUGACGGUACCCGGAGAAGAAGCCCCGGCUAACUUCGUG
rnacentral:rRNA from 1 species